AUUCUAAACAUUGUAGAUUCAAUGAAAAAAAUGGAUUUCGUUUUUUACUUCGGAGAAUGUCAUUUCUACUUUAUUUAGAAUAGAAUCUGAAAAUUAUGAUUUAAACAUUUUUAGAACUGAGAAAAAUACCAUUAAGUUCAUACAGGUAUUUUAUCAAUAGUUACUAUUUUUCUAAUUUUUUUGUUUGUAAGACAUUUAUUAAAUUUAUAUUCAAAAAUAGGUAUUAUAAGCAAAAAUGACACAAAAUAGAUAUUAGUCUAAAAAGACAUAGUUAUCAUUUUUUUCUUCUCUAAAAUUUUUUUUCCCAAUUUUCAAUUGGUUGACUAUGAUCUCACUGUAUGUUGUUUACAAUUAUGAUUGAGCACGCAAAUAUUGUAUACGUUUUUGCAAGAUUUUUGGCUUCAUAUUUAAUAUUUUGUUUACCAAAUGUUAUUUUCCUUGCAGGUAAUAUCUUUAUGAAUCAAAAUACAUAACCGGUUGGUUACUUAAACCGAAUGCUUGAAAUGGAUAAUGAGAAAAACAGAACCAGCUUGUCAGAGUACGUUGUAUCUAUAAAAAAUAUAUUAGUAAUAUAAUAUCUAACCUAUACUAAAAGUUGGAUAUGCUCAACAACUAACGUGUCCACCUAAACAUAAAAAAUCAUCCAAUUAUAGAGUUUCAAUCUGCCACGUCAUAAAUAAUAACUAAAUUCUAAAAUCAAUUAAAUAAUACGGACAGAGCAGCCCAAAGCCCAAAUUACCUUAGGUCUUCCUAACUCUGUCUUCAAUAGUAUCGGUGACUUUCCUCCUUCCUCUCCCAUUCACUGUUCUGUGAAAAUCAAACGUCACCGGUCAAAGAUCUUCGAGAAACAUAUUUCCUCAAACUUUACUAUCCUUCUCAAAUUAAUAACGAUCCUCUCUCUCUCUUCAGCUUCAAAUAUCUUUAUAUAUAAGCUGAUGCGUACUUACACAACGAACUUCCAAUCCAACUACAACAUGGAUGCUCAUCCAGCUUAGGCAUCUUCUCAUCGAUGAAUAGGUUCACCUGGAUCAAGCUAUGGAAGAGACAUGACCGAAAACAUGUGCUCUGUUAUAUAUUCUUAUUGUGCUUUUCCUUACUCUUGCUUUGAAAUCUCGGAAGCAUUUUCGUUACAACCAUAUGAUCAGAGUUCUGAUCUUUUGUUAUCUUUUUUUUUUGGCUGCUCUAUCCGGUAGACAUUUGUCCUUUUGUUGGUAUUUUUCUGCUCUACUCAUAAAUGGCUCGAGUUAAAGCUUCAAGAUACUGUUAGAGUAAUAUAUGUCUUUGUCUCACAACACUGAGUAUUGAAAGAUAUUGUAUCUGAUACGUAUUCGAGAGUCCAUUUAUUUUUGAUAUAUGUAGAGAGCGCAAAGAAAUUUUGAGGCUGGUCAAGAAAGAGAUGGAAUUUCUAUAACACAAUGGCGGAGCGAGAAUAUGCUGAUUGUGAAAAAUCUGCGAUGAAUGCAUACAAAGUAGCUACAGAAAAUAGUGACACAUGUGAUGAAAUUUCUCAAGGCAGUCACCUCGCACCAAAUCAUCCUGAACCAAAACCAGUUUCUGGUUUGGCCCAGAUGAUGAUGUUGUCUGAUGCAAGACUACAGAUUAAAGACAAGGAGUGAUGCAAGCCGUGAAGACUAUGGAUUCCUGUCCCGUCUGCGUUUUCUCGAUGCCAAGGCCUCAAUGAAGUUAAAAAAACUGAUAAAAGAUUUAAGUCGCCAGUUCUUUUAACGCCAUUGUGGAAGAAACAUAAAAUAUUAGAACAUAUCGAAUGAUUACCCGGUAAGCUACGAGCAUAUGUAUAUUUUUCAAGUUUUUGUUUGUUCGGUAUGGUUGGAAGUUCUAUUGGUUCAAAUACUCUGAUGGGUAUGGUUAAUAACAUUGAAGAAUAAGUCUAUGUUACAUCCA